CCACAGAUUUGAAUCCAGUGUUCGGAAGACCUCGCGCGACUUCUCCUCUCCGCCCCCAAGUCCAAACUCCGCUGCUCUUGGCUGCAGAAGGGCUCUCUAUUCUUAUCCGGAAAACCCCUCAGCCCUAAAUCUUCUCUGCCUCAUUCGGUUUCUCCUCAAACCUCAAUGGCAAAAACUAGCAUUAAUAACAGUAAUGGCAAUAAGAAGAAGAAGAAGACGAGCUCGACCAAGAAGUUGCUAUCAGCUCCAAACGCCAAGGCCAUGAUAGCGAAACCAGCGAAGCUAAACCCUUUUGAGACUAUCUGGAUCCUCAGGAAAUUUGAUAUACUCGGCAAGAAACGGAAAGGUGAGGAGAAACGAGUCGGAAAGGCAAGUUUCUCUCUAUCGUUCGUUCUGUAUUUAACCCUUGCGACGUAGUUCUAUGUGUGCAACCCUAACUCAAAAAAGUUUCUAUUUAUCUUAGGAAUUGAUUAAUAAAUUCUUUACGCAUUUAUUUUAUUUAAGAUUGUAUUAAAAUGUUAUAGAUAAUCACAUUUUCCUCAAAUAUAUUGGUAAAAGUGACGGUUUUAGAUUGAAUUCCCGGCGUUCCUUGGCGUAUUUUCUCAGUUUGGUGUGUUUAUGGUAGAAAGGUGCUUGUUUUUAUGGCUCAUUGGAGACAGUUCAAGCUGCCUCUGGUAGAAGUUGCUGCUUUUGAAGAACUUUCUGGUUUCGGCUUGGUUGUAAAAUGAACAUGAAGAAGAUAAAAGAGAAUCACAGAGCAUGAUAAAAUGGUCAUCUCACUGCUUUGAAAAUUGAAAACUGGAUUGAUCUCCUUAUGUUUAUCGAGAAAAAGCACUUUAUUGAAGGAAUAUGAACAAAGCAACAAAUCUUCGGUAUUUGUGGAUAAGCGCGUUGGAGAGCAAAAUGAUGCCCUAGGGGAAUUUGAUAAGGCUAUCUUACGUUUCCAGAGGGAGCGGCAGUUAAAUUUGAAAAGCAAGAAAAACAAAUUUAAUCUAUCUGAUGGGGAGGAGGAUGAAUAUGCAAUGGAAGCCGGUGGUUUGUUUUCAGCAAGGGAUGAUUUUGAUGAUGAAAUGUUGUCAGGUGAUGAUGGGGAAGCAGCUGAGAUAGAGAGGAAAUCAUCUAUUAUGAAACAAGUCAAUGCUCUAAACCCACAUAAUCCAUUGGAAACUAGUUCAAUGGAUGGAGAGGAAAAGUCCUGUUGCACCAAAUCUUAUGAGCUAUCCCCUUUGUAACGAAACCUGAUCUCAACAACCAGAACAUGGGAAGAGAAUAAGAGAAGAGAAGAAGGAAGAAGAAGAGAACCAAGCGAGACACUUCUCCUCAUGGUUGCAAGGACAAAGACCCCUAACGGUAGCAGUCUUUACCACUCCCCCUCAAGCUAGAGUGUGUGUGUGUGUAUAUAUAUAUAUAUAUAUAUAUAUCCCAAAAAGGCUUUAGCUUGGAACAACAAGAAUAGAUACCAACAGCAGAACCAAUCUUGAACGUAUAUAGCAGUCGUAGAAACCAAUGAGUGCAGAGAGAACUUCAUUCUGGUAGCAAUACCAAUUACCAACGCAGCACACCAAUCACCAACAACAGUAGAGAAAAAUCUUCUUGAAUAAAUCCAAACAAGAAGCAAAAUAAGCAGCAAACAUUUCCAUCCGCAAUAAAACACCAUUGUAGCAACUACAAUAUCAUAAGCCCUUCUCAAGGAAGGCAAUUAGUAAGCAGUAAUAUUCACAAAGAAGACAGAUAUAAGCGCAGUAUAAGUCGCUGCAAACCACUGGUAAAAAAGUAUGAUAGGUUGCUACGAAUCACUGAUAAUGGUGCAACAUGUAAUUACGAACCACUGAUAGAAGUGCAUUACAAGUUUUUGCGAACCACUAAUAACAACAUAAGGUAGCUAGGAACCACAACUAAAACUACAAGGGAAGUGAACUACAGCUACAAAUACUCAUAGCCUAACAAUUACAACUAAAUAGGGACUCCCCCUCACAGUUACAAUGGCAAAGGCAAACACCCCUCACAGUAGCAGUCUUUCUAAUGGAUAUGGUCCAAUUUCUUAAUGGUUAUAAGCAUGUAGAUAUAAUGCAACAAGCUAAAGAUUAAGCUUUAGAACCCGCAUAGUCCAUUUAACUUCAUUUAUUAUAUUCUGGCAUAGAUUUGAGACUAAGGUUUUCACUUCUAGUGGAUCUGGGAGCAAGUCCAUUCAGACAUUCAAGACCACUCUCUCUCCUAAUAUGUGUCUUAUCCCAAAAGCAUUGGAGAAUGUAAUAGUUUAUUGUCAGCUGUUUUUACAUUGAUACAUUGUGUUGGAUGAAGUUUCAAAUUCUUGGUGAGGGUGUUAGUGACCUGAUUGCUUUCUCAAAAUGUUUGCUUUAAUGUGAUGACCACGACUUUUAUGUAGGUUAUAUGAUUUUAUCCACCAAUUUGAAACAUUCCAUUCCAACGCUGAUUCUUUAUUUACUGUAUUUAAUUUCCCCCAUUCUUUCUCUUGUACCUUUGUAUAUCUUGGUCUGCAAUUUCUAACGCUGAUUUUAGUCUUUUAUAAGUUUACAUGUGUUACAUUGGAUGUAAACUAUCAAUGUUGAUCUUUGACCUUCAAUCAUUGAUGAGCACAUUUAUGUGUGAAAUCUAGGGUAGUAAAACAUGCAUUUUACAUAUUUAGAAUGGAGCUACCUUGGGUUUUACUCUCUUUUUGCAGGUUUUAUAUUUUCAAGGCCUUAAGGAC